AGAGGAGCAGCAAAGAAAGUGAAGAAAAAAGUUUGUACCAUCUUAUGUAGGAAGACAUUUGGAAGUUGUGUUUGCGGAAGGAAAGGCCUAUGUGUCUAUUGCUUUACUCGACCGAUGUCGCAGCCUUGUCUUGUGUAAAAGUGAUUCUUGGGCAACAGAGUUUUCAGCAGGUGUAAGGUAAGCAAAAUGAUCUCGCUUGAAUGGUUUCAGGAUCCACAAAGAUUGAGAGGAGCAGCAAAGAAAGUGAAGAAAAAAGUUUAUACCAUCUUAUGUAGGAAGACAUUUGGAAGUUGUGUUUGCGGAAGGAAAGGCCUAUGUGUCUAUUGCUUUACUCGACAGAUGUCGCAGCCUUGUCUUGUGUAAAAGUGAUUCUUGGGCAACAGAGUUUUCAGCAGGUGUAAGGUAAGCAAAAUGAUCUCGCUUGAAUGGUUUCAGGAUCCACAAAGAUUGAGAGGAGCAGCAAAGAAAGUGAAGAAAAAAGUUUGUACCAUCUUAUGUAGGAAGACAUUUGGAAGUUGUGUUUGCGUAAGGAAAGGCCUGUGUGUCUAUUGCUUUACUCGACAGAUGUCGCAGCCUUGUCUUGUGGAAAAGUGAAUCUUGGGGAACAGGGUUGUCAGCAGGUGUAAGGUAAGCAAAAUGAGCUCUCUUGAAUGGUUUCAGGAUCCACACAGAUUGAGAGGAGCAGCAAAGAAAGUGAAGAAAAAAGUUUGUACCAUCUUAUGUAGGAAGACAUUUGGAAGUUGUGUUCGCGGAAGGAAAGGCCUGUGUGUCUAUUGCUUUACUCGACAGAUGUCGCAGCCUUGUCUUGUGGAAAAGUGAACCUUGGGCAACAGGGUUUUCAGCAGGUGUAAGGUAAGCAAAAUGAUCUCGCUUCAAUAGUUUCAGGAUCCACACAGAUUGAGAGGAGCAGCAAAGAAAGUGAAGAAAAAAGUUUGUGCCAUCUUAUGUAGUAAGACAUUUGGAAGUUGUGUUUGCAGGAGGAAAGGCCUGUGUGUCUAUUGCUUUACUCGACAGAUGUUGCAGCCUUGUCUUGUGGAAAAGUGAAUCUUGGGCAACAGGGAUUUCAGCAGGUGUAAGGUAAGCAAAAUGAUCUUGCUUGAAUAGUUUCAGGAUCCACACAGAUUGAGAGGAGCAGCAAAGAAA